CAGCAUGGAGAUCACUGCUGCCCUGGGAAGAUCAGGCAGAAAGUCAGAUGAAAGAUAAACUUCCUACAGAAUCCAGACCAGAAGAAUUCUAUGCCAUUGAGCAAGUAAUACACAGUUGAAGAUAAUCUGCUGUCUGAAAUGAGAUUCAGGAAUGUUAAAGCCGAAUGAACAAAUCAGCACUCAACCUCCUACCUGAACUAAGGAGGAUGAAUUUCCUGAGCUGCUCAUGACAUUGACGUGACUGCCUGAAAGCUCUCAUACUGAAAGGGUGAACAAAUUCUAAGUGUGAUUAGCUUAUUUCAUUCACAGGAAUCAGUGUCAAACUUGUGAAAUUAAAUUAUCGACAGCAAUACUUUAUAGAAAGGUCUCAUCAUUUAUGUUCUUCAAAAGCUGGGAUGGAAUGGAUUUAAAAUGCUGUAAACUAGUGGAUUACAUACAAAGCUGGAGCCAGUAGAGGAGCUGGGUUUUCAGGCAUGGACCCUACAGUGAAAUCCAAAGCACAGAUGCUGCUAUCUGAACUCUGCAUUGUACACAGGGACACACAGAUGUCCUGAAAUGGUGGGUCAAUAGUAAAGACGGGAGGGUCAGCACAUGUGACUCUACUCAGACAAAGACUGCCUUGAUGCAAGCAAGUAUCCCAAGUCUGUCAACUUCACCUGGACUCUUCUUCAGUGCUCUGCCUCAAGCCUGUGUGUGAAAAAAAGUAACGGUUAUUCGACAGGGCAAGAUCAGGCUUCUAAUUACAAGAUUGGAAGCUACAAAAGAUUGAAAUGCUGUGGUAACACCAGCCUCAUUUGGGUCUAACAGCUAGAUUGAGACAUAUCCCAGACAUUACUCCAGAGAUCUGACCUGUGUGACAAGCUUUUGACUUCUACAGGCUUCACACAGAGCCAAACAUAAUGCCA